CCUUUGGAGAACUAUGCCAAAUCGUAGUAGCUUAGGCAAGGCGAGGUUCGGUGAAGAAGGAA
rnacentral:ncRNA from 2 species